rnacentral:rRNA from 1 species
UGGGGAAUUUUGGACAAUGGGCGAAAGCCUGAUCCAGCAAUGCCGCGUGUGUGAAGAAGGCCUUCGGGUUGUAAAGCACUUUUGUCCGGAAAGAAAUCCUUGGCUCUAAUACAGUCGGGGGAUGACGGUACCGGAAGAAUAAGCACCGGCUAACUACGUGCCAGCAGCCGCGGUAAUACGUAGGGUGCAAGCGUUAAUCGGAAUUACUGGGCGUAAAGCGUGCGCAGGCGGUUUGCUAAGACCGAUGUGAAAUCCCCGGGCUCAACCUGGGAACUGCAUUGGUGACUGGCAGGCUAGAGUAUGGCAGAGGGGGUAGAAUUCCACGUGUAGCAGUGAAAUGCGUAGAGAUGUGGAGGAAUACCGAUGGCGAAGGCAGCCCCCUGGGCCAAUACUGACGCUCAUGCACGAAAGCGUGGGGAGCAAACAGGAUUAGAUACCCUGGUAGUCCACGCCCUAAACGAUGUCAACUAGUUGUUGGGGAUUCAUUUCCUUAGUAACGUAGCUAACGCGUGAAGUUGACCGCCUGGGGAGUACGGUCGCAAGAUUAAAACUCAAA